rnacentral:lncRNA from 1 species
AUAACUAAAAUACACAUGAUCUGGCUAGAACAUAAAACGUAGCUACAUUAGCCACAAUUUAGCCACAAAAUUGUCACGUUAAUUAUGUGGCUACAAUUUGGCAGCCACGUUUUUGCUACAUAAUUUUAAUGGCUAUAUUAGUUUGUAUAUACUUUCAACCCCAAACUUAAAACUUAAAACAUAUAUCCCUAAUACUAAAACCAGUCUCUAAAUUUAAUAUUUUAAAAUUUUAACAAAAUUAUUAUUUCUUUAAACUUCAUUCUAAAUCUAAAUGCUAAACUACAUACCUCAAAUCCUAUAUCCUAAAUACAAACUCCAACAAUAAUAUUCUUAAACUUAAACUCCAAUCUUAAGAAUGAGACUCUAAACUUAAUCUUUUAAAAAAAACUUAAUCUGAAACCACAUACUUAAUCUUAAACAAGAACCCUAAACCACAUUUUUAAACCCUAUAUCAUUAAUAUUAAACCUUAAAUUUAAUAAAAUCUAAUUCAUAUAAUAUAUAUAAUAUAUAUCCCAAACUAUAUAUAACACUUCAAAUUUUAAAUUCUCCAUUUCAAAAAUAAAUUAACCACUAAAUUAAACCAUAUAUCCUAAACCCCAAACCUAAUUUUCCAAAAAAAAAAUCAUAAACAUCAACCCUUAUAUUUUAAACUUCUAAUUAUUAAAAUAAAACUAUAAACUACAAGACCAUAACUAUAAUCCUAAAUUAUAAAAUAUAAUUAUUAAUCUUAAAUAUAAACCCCAA